UUGACGUUAGCGACAGAAGAAGCACCGGCUAACUCCGUGCCAGCAGCCGCGGUAAUACGGAGGGUGCGAGCGUUAAUCGGAAUUACUGGGCGUAAAGCGCAUGCAGGUGGUUUGUUAAGUCAGAUGUGAAAGCCCGGGGCUCAACCUCGGAAUAGCAUUUGAAACUGGCAGACUAGAGUACUGUAGAGGGGGGUAGAAUUUCAGGUGUAGCGGUGAAAUGCGUAGAGAUCUGAAGGAAUACCGGUGGCGAAGGCGGCCCCCUGGACAGAUACUGACACUCAGAUGCGAAAGCGUGGGGAGCAAACAGGAUUAGAUACCCUGGUAGUCCACGCCGUAAACGAUGUCUACUUGGAGGUUGUGGCCUUGAGCCGUGGCUUUCGGAGCUAACGCGUUAAGUAGACCGCCUGGGGAGUACGGUCGCAAGAUUAAAACUCAAAUGAAUUGACGGGGGCCCGCACAAGCGGUGGAGCAUGUGGUUUAAUUCGAUGCAACGCGAAGAACCUUACCUACUCUUGACAUCCAGAGAACUUUCCAGAGAUGGAUUGGUGCCUUCGGGAACUCUGAGACAGGUGCUGCAUGGCUGUCGUCAGCUCGUGUUGUGAAAUGUUGGGUUAAGUCCCGCAACGAGCGCAACCCUUAUCCUUGUUUGCCAGCGAGUAAUGUCGGGAACUCCAGGGAGACUGCCGGUGAUAAACCGGAGGAAGGUGGGGACGACGUCAAGUCAUCAUGGCCCUUACGAGUAGGGCUACACACGUGCUACAAUGGCGCAUACAGAGGGCAGCAAGCUAGCGAUAGUGAGCGAAUCCCAAAAAGUGCGUCGUAGUCCGGAUUGGAGUCUGCAACUCGACUCCAUGAAGUCGGAAUCGCUAGUAAUCGUGGAUCAGAAUGCCACGGUGAAUACGUUCCCGGGCCUUGUACACACCGCCCGUCACACCAUGGGAGUGGGCUGCAAAAGAAGUAGGUAGUUUAACCUUCGGGAGGACGCUUACCACUUUGUGGUUCAUGACUGGGGUGAAGUCGUAACAAGGUAGCGCUAGGGGAACCUG
rnacentral:rRNA from 1 species